CGGGGCGUAGCUCAGCUUGGUAGAGCGCGUGCUUUGGGAGCACGAAGUCGUCGGUUCGAAUCCGGCCGCCCCGA
rnacentral:tRNA from 1 species